ACUCCUACGGGAGGCAGCAGUGGGGAAUAUUGCACAAUGGGCGCAAGCCUGAUGCAGCCAUGCCGCGUGUGUGAAGAAGGCCUUCGGGUUGUAAAGCACUUUCAGUCGUGAAGGAUGGUAAGUGUAGGUUAAUAGCUGCAUUAUUUGACGAUUAGACGAACAGAACGGAAGACACCGGCUAACUCCGUGCCAGCAGCCGCGGUAAUACGGAGGGUGCGAGCGUUAAUCGGAAUUACUGGGCGUAAAGCGCAUGCAGGUGGUUUGUUAAGUCAGAUGUGAAAGCCCGGGGCUCAACCUGCGAUUGCAUUUGAAACUGGCAGACUAGA
rnacentral:rRNA from 1 species